rnacentral:rRNA from 1 species
AUUGAACGCUGGCGGCAUGCUUUACACAUGCAAGUCGAACGGUAACAGGGUGCUUGCACCGCUGACGAGUGGCGAACGGGUGAGUAACGUAUCGGAACGUACCGUGUAAUGGGGGAUAACGCAUCGAAAGGUGUGCUAAUACCGCAUACGCCCUGAGGGGGAAAGUGGGGGACCGAAAGGCCUCACGUUAUACUAGCGGCCGAUAUCUGUUUAGCUAGUUGGGGAGGUAAAGGCUCACCAAGGCGAAGAUCAGUAGCAGGUCUGAGAGGAUGAUCCGCCACACUAGGACUGAGACACGGCCCAGACUCGUACGGGAGGAAGCAGUGGGGAAUUUUGGACAAUGGGCGAAAGCCUGAUCCAGCAAUGCCGCGUGAGUGAAGAAGGCCUUCGGGUUGUACAGCUCUUUUGUCAGGGAAGAAACGGUGGGGGCUAAUAUCCUCUGCUAAUGACGGUACCUGAAGAAUAAGCACCGGCUAACUACGUGCCAGCCGCCGCCGUAA